CCCAUAGGAGGCGCUGCACACUAUGGGUCUGAGGAUGAAUCUAUGGGUCUGAGGAUGAAUCUAUGGGUCUGAGGAUGAAUCUAUGGGUCUGAGGAUGAAUCUAUGGGUCUGAGGUUGAAUCUAUGGGUCUGAGGAUGAAUCUAUGGGUCUGAG